UAGUCCACGCCGUAAACGAUGUGCACUAGGUCUUGAGAGUUUUGACGCUCACAGGUCCGAAAUGAAAACGAUAAGUGCACCGCCUGGGGAGUACGGUCGCAAGGCUAGAACUCAAAGGAAUUGACGGGGGGCUCACACAAGCGGUGGAGCAUGUGGCUUAAUUCGAAGCAACGCGAAGAACCUUAUCCUGGGUUUGACAUGUAUGGAUUAACUCUCUGAAAGGAGAGCCACGCCCUUUGGGUGGAACAUACACAGAUGCUGCAUGGCUGUCGUCAGCUCGUGCUGUGAAGUGUCGGGUUAAGUCCCUUAACGAGCGAAACCCUUAUCGUUAGUUGCCAGCGCGUAAUGGCGGGGACUCUAGCGAGACUGCCGGUGUUAAAUC
rnacentral:rRNA from 1 species